rnacentral:lncRNA from 1 species
CUUGUGGAGCGAUCAGGCCCGCCCUUCUUUUCUGAGCUGGUGGGAGAACUUUGUGGCUGGUUGUCUUAUGUUGGAAGGACUUCACCGCCAUCACCCUGAUCCUUCCUUCCAGGGCUGUAUGGAGGAGCUUGCCACCAAUAACUAGCGACCUGAGAAGGAUAUCUAGUCCCUCAGAACAAUGAAGAAUGUGAACAAGGGUCCUUAGCAGACCAAAGAGGUCCAGCACAGGGUAAAGUUCCCCAUAGAAACAUUGUGAUGGGCACAGUUCUGCCUCUCUUUUGAAAACUCUCUGCUGUGGUCUGCCUGUGCCCAAGGCUUGGUGUUGAUGAAAACCAUGAGUUUCCUGCCACAAAUAUUAAGGGUCCCAAGGAAGUGCCAACAAAAUGCUAACCCAAGGGCAAGGUUUUCUGGAAACAAGUCGUUUAAAAACAUAACAAGACAAAACAAAACAAGUAAUAACAAAACCACCGUCUCAACCUUUGAAGGGAUGCACGCACAAUUUCUAGAGAAGGGAAAGUUCGCCCUCUAGUGGCCAAGAGAAAACAGUUCAUGAAAUUGAAGCGUGGAUCCUAUGGUGCUUUUUAAAGAAACUCACCUCUAAGUUAGGACUUUAUUCUGCCCUUUGUGUCGACACUUCCUUACUCAUGGAUCUUGAUCUAGAUACUUCUACUGUUAGUUUAAAAAUUAAUAAUUUUAGUUUUAUAAUAUUAUGCUCUUGUCUAACUUUUUAAAGCAUCGAAAGAAAAAAAUCCAGGUGGAGAACAAUUUAUUCUUACUGGUAUAUUUUUAAAGUCCUAGGUGUGAUGUGAGUGCUAAAUAGAAGCACGCCUUGAUUUACUUUGUUUUGG